GACAGAGGGUGCAAACGUUGUUCGGAAUUACUGGGCGUAAAGCGCGUGUAGGCGGCCCUGCAAGUCGGAUGUGAAAUCCCACGGCUCAACCGUGGAAGUGCAUUCGAAACUGCAGGGCUAGAGUCCUGGAGAGGAAGGUGGAAUGCUUGGUGUAGAGGUGAAAUUCGUAGAUAUCAAGCGGAACACCGGUGGCGAAGGCGGCCCACUGGAUCGGUACUGACGCUGAGGUGCGAAAGCGUGGGGAGCAAACAGG
rnacentral:rRNA from 1 species